GCCGCCGUGGCUCAGCUGGGAGAGCGGGUGACUCGUAAUCACCAGGUCGCGGGUUCGAAGCCCGCCGGCGGCU
rnacentral:tRNA from 2 species